rnacentral:tRNA from 1 species
GGGGAUAUAGCGCAGUGGGAGCGCAUCUGCUUCGCAUGCAGAGGGCCGGGGGUUCGAAUCCCCCUAUCUCCACCA